AUAGAGCGAGGACGCUAACAGGAACAAUGACUCAGGAUGAGGGUCAGGAGCGCCAGGAGGCGAAGACAGAGGAUUGUCAGGAAGACAAACGUCCGGAGACGUAAUUAAACGGAAAUGGAAUCAACACGGAUUGUUCCGGCUAAUGGAAAAACAGGGUGUGUUGGCGGCCUGCAAGGAUUGUAAGACCCGUUAAGGGUUAUGAGUCAGGAAAAAAGGCGACAGAGUAAUCUGUCGCCUUUUUUCUU
rnacentral:sRNA from 2 species